rnacentral:rRNA from 1 species
CCCGCUGAACUUAAGCAUAUCAAUAAGCGGAGGAAAAGAAACUAACAAGGAUUCCCCUAGUAACUGCGAGUGAAGCGGGAAAAGCUCAAAUUUAAAAUCUGGCGGUCCUUGUGGCCGUCCGAGUUGUAAUUUAGAGAAGUGCUAUCCGUGCUGGACCGUGUACAAGUCUCCUGGAAUGGAGCGUCAUAGAGGGUGAGAAUCCCGUCUUUGACACGGACUGCCAGUGCAUUGUGAUGCGCUCUCGAAGAGUCGAGUUGUUUGGGAAUGCAGCUCAAAAUGGGUGGUAAAUUCCAUCUAAAGCUAAAUAUGGGCGAGAGACCGAUAGCGAACAAGUACCGUGAGGGAAAGAUGAAAAGGACUUUGAAAAGAGAGUUAAACAGUACGUGAAAUUGCUGAAAGGGAAACGAUUCAAGUCAGUCGCAUUGGCCGGUAAUCAACCUUUGCAAAUCCAAUUUGCUGGGCUUACUUUCCGGUUUGAUGGGUCAGCAUCAAUUUUGACUGUCGGAUAAAGGCUUGGGGGAAUGUGGCAUCUUCGGAUGUGUUAUAGCCCUUGGUCGCAUGCGAUGGUUGGGAUUGAGGAACUCAGCAUGGCCCUUUGAAAGGAGGGCUCGGAGGGGUUGUUGCCCUUCACGUAACGUGCUUAGGAUGUUGGCAUAAUGGCUUGAACCGACCCGUCUUGAAACACGG